GCGAGACCCACGUCCACCAGUUGCCAGCAUACCCUCCCGGGGUGGAUGGGUACACUGUGGAGACCGCCGCUGCUAAAGCGGAGGAAGGGAGUGGGCAACGGUAGGUCAGUAUGCCCCGAAUCUCCCGGGCUACACGCGGGCUACAAUGGUUGGUACAAUGGGCAUCUACCCCGAAAGGGGAAGGAAAUCUCUUAAAGCCAAUCGUAGUUCGGAUUGAGGGCUGCAACUCGCCCUCAUGAAGCUGGAAUCCGUAGUAAUCGCGUUUCAACAGAACGCGGUGAAUACGUCCCUGCUCCUU
rnacentral:rRNA from 1 species